AGGAGCCCCAGCCCCGGGAGUCCCAGGUGUUCCCAUUCUGUGAUCAGCACAGAACAUAGACACCUCACCAUGGAGUUUGUGCUUGGCUGGGUAUUCCUUGUUGCUCUUUUAAAAGACACAAGUGUGACGUGCAGCUGGUGGAGUCUGGAGGAGACCUGGUGAAGCCUGGGGGGUCCCUGAGACUCACCUGUGUGGCCUCUGGAUUCACCUUCAGUAGCUAUAGCAUGCACUGGGUCCGCCAGGCUCCAGGGAAGGGGCUGCAGUGGGUCGCAUAUAU